UGGGGUCAAAGCAGCAGGCUUUGCGUCACGGUUUGCGCCCGGGAGCUGUGCCCUCCGACGCUGCUGAGUUGCCCGGCGCUAUGGCUCGGCUUGCAAGACCGUUGUUUUAAUAAACAUAUGGUCGUGGAGGUUCAUGGAGUCUUGGGAGUGACCACCUACAUCUGCCAGCCCCUGAGUGCUGGGCUGCGCUCUCCACCGAGGAGAGAGACCUGGAACCACUUCCACCAAAACACUGAUUGGAACCAAGCAAACCAUACUGUGUGCAGAUAGCCAUUGUGGUUGGCAGCUUCUAAGAAGACCCCAGUGAUCCCCACCUCCUGGUAUUCAUGAUUCAUGGCCUUGUGUAAUUCCUUACCCUUGAGUAACCCACUUCUAACCAAUAAAAUAUGGCAAUGUUAA